CUACCGCCCGGGCUCCGGCUUCUCGGGCGGCAACACGGAAGCCGCCGCAGGAGAAAGCGCUGAGCGUACGGCCACGCCUCCCCAGCCCUCAGGAGCCAAUCGGAGCCCGAGGCCGCCGCGCACGCGCAUUGCUGGGCGCCCAGCAUUUCCCCCCCGCCCAGAGCCCGCGCAUGCCCGGAAUGGCCCGGAAUCCCACCUUGCGACUCUAGUUACACACCCAGGAUAUCCGUAUUAGGAAUCAGCCUCAACACCAGCCCAAGUGACCGAGGACGAGUCGCCCACCGCCCACUCCUGUGACAGGGUGUGGUGAAGGUUCAAGGAAAUCGAGGGUGCAAGCGCGAGCUCUCCACACGCCGUGUCAUUUGGGGCUGGUGCUCUCACCUGUAAAAUGAAGAUGCCUCCUCGGACGUGUCAGGGACACACUCUGCGAUAUGCUGGGUAAAGAAGAGACGCAGGCAGCGGCCUGGUGGUGCAGCGCCGUGAGGGUAAUGGGCUCCUCAAAGGGCAGGAGGCUGGGCCGGUCCCGACCCAUCUGCACAGGUGCCACCUCCACUCCGGGCCUCAGUUUCCUCAUCUGCCAAACGAGGUUACAGUAGAUGACCUCUAAGGGCCCUUCCCACUCUCCAAUUAUGUGUGUGUUAGAAUCUCAGGCCAGGCACACUCCCUCUUUUUCCCAGGGAGCAGUCACAUGGCACCCGCUAUCUUAGACACACAACCUGAGAACUUGAGGCAUUCUUAGGCUGGAGAGUGGUGAUGGGGCCCCAAAGAAAAGAGGCAGGUGUGAAACCACCUAUCCCCAGGGUCACGUCACCAGCAUGUCUUGGCAGCCCCAGCAUGUGUGUGCCUGAGGUAUAGAUCUUGGAGACAGACAGGUCUAUGAUGCCUUCCUGAGCUGGGGAAGUGGGUUCAACUUGUCCUGAUUCCCUGAGUUUGGAAGACAGUUCUAGCUCCUGACUGAGCCCAAGUUUCCUCAAUAUUAGAAACAGCUCUUUGCCUGCCUUCCCAAGACCCAGGGGCUCACCCCUUACAAUGUGUCUUUCUUGUAGCAUGACCUAAGGGCUCUAGGAAGCUCAAUGUGGGCUGGAGAGGAGAGGGUGCGGUGGGAACAGGCACUUCUGUCCCGAUUCUCAGCUCUGGGAUCCUCAGACCAGGACACAAUGACCCUGUGCCUCCCUAAACCAGCUAGAGCAAAGUGGGGACACAGUUCAGUCAGUGUUGUUGGGUGCUUACUGUGUGCGGGACCUGUGCUACAUCAGGGUACAGAGACCCUGGGGAGACACGUCCCUGCCUUCAGAAAGCUUAUAUCAUGGUUUAAUUGGACAGUGUAGGGAAAGCGGAGAGAAGUCCAGGAGAAAAGCAUAUUUAAAAUUACAUAAGACAAAAGAAUAGCCUCGAGCUUUAAAAACUAUAAGCAGGAAGAGGAUGGGCCUCAAUUCCUGAGCACCUACUGUGUGCUGGAUGUUGGGCUAGGCAUUUUCAUGUGUGUCACCUCACGUCCUCCUCCUGGACCCUGUAAGUGGAACUAAGCGUAAGAGCAGCUACCUUUCGUCGAGUGUGUGCUAUGUGCUAGACUCUUCUCUGAGUGCUUUAAUCCUUGUAACACGUUAAGAAGUGUUAUAUCUCUGUUUUAUGAAAAAGAAAACCAGAUUGGAAAUAUUGAAUCACAAGGCUGGGAGCUGACAGGUGUGUGUAGUUGUGGGGAUGGGUGGGGACUAGAACCCAGGUCUAAGCAAGCGAGGAGGGGCUUUGGGAGAGAGUCUCCAAGGCUACACAUGGUGCUGGCUGAUAGGGCAGGCAGGCCAGCGAGGAAAUGCAUUCCUGGUAGCGAGGUCUCCAUAGGCAUGGUUGGGACACCGGGAAAGCCCAGGGCACAAGAGGGUACAACAGGUGAGGCUGGGAAGGUGGGGUGGCAUCCAGUGUCAGGGAGCCUCGAAUGGCAGGGUGAGGGAUUUGUGGUUGGUUUGUCAGGCAGUGAGGACGUUUUAGAGGUUGUGAGCUAGAGAGACCAGCUCAGAGCACUCCCUUGCCAGGGAAGAUUUGCAGGAGGACUGGAGAAGAGCCAGCCGGUGGAUGGGCUUUGCUUCUGCAAGGCUCUAGCUUCUCCUGGCACCGGAGCCUCCAGUUCCUGCCCUGUAUCCAGGACAAUGCCUGCAGAAGAGUUUGUGGCUGGCUGGAUCUCUGGAGCUUUGGGCCUGAUCCUAGGACACCCCUUUGACACUAUAAAGGUGCGGCUGCAGUCACAGAGCAAGUACCGUGGUAUCUUCGACUGCGCUAUGCAGAUCUACCAACAUGAGUCGAUCCUGGGCUUCUUCAAGGGAAUGAGCUUCCCCAUCGCCAGCAUAGCCAUAGUCAACUCCGUCCUGUUUGGGGUCUACAGCAAUGUCCUGCUGGCACUCACGUCUACCACCCACCAGGAGCGGCGGUCCCAGCCUCCCAGCUAUACAGACAUCUUCAUAGCAGGCUGCAUCGGGGGGUUUGUACAGUCCUACUGCCUGGCUCCUUUUGACCUGGUCAAAGUCCGUCUGCAAAACCAGACAGAGCCGAAGGUGCAGCUGGGGAGCCUGCAGCCGCGCUACCGGGGGCCCCUGCACUGCGUGUCCUCCAUCCUCCAGAAGGAAGGGCCCCAGGGGCUGCUCCGAGGGUCUGGUACCCUGAUGCUGAGGGACACCCCCACGCUGGGCAUCUACUUUGUCACCUACGAAUGGCUGUGCCGCCAGUAUACCCCAAAGGGCCAGAAUCCCAGUGCCGUUGAGUUGGUUUCAACUCCUAAUGACCCUGUGUACAACAGAACGAAACACUGCUCGGUCCUCUGCCAUCCUUCCAGUCGUUGCCCUGCUUGAGCCCAUUGUUGCAGCCACUGUGUCAGUCCCUCUCAUGGAGGGUCUUCCUCUUUUUCGCUGACCCUCUACUUUACCAAGCAUGAUGUUCUUCUCCAGGGACUGAACCCUUCUGAUAAGGUGUCCAAAAUAUGUGAGACAUAGUCUAGCCAUCCUUGCUUCUAAGGAGCAUUCUGGUUGUACUUUCCAGACAGAUUUGUUUGUUCUUUUGACAGUCCGUGGUAUAUUCAAUAUUCACCAACACCACAGUUCAAAGCCUUCUACUCUUCUUCAGUCUUCUUUAUUCAUCCUUCAACUUUCACAUCUAUAUUAGAUGAUUGAAAACACCGUGGCUUCGGUCAGGCGCACCUUGGUCUUCAAGGUGACGUCCCUGCUUUUCAACACUUUGAAGAGGUCCUUUGCAGCAGAUUUGCCCAAUGCAAUGCGUCAUUUGAUUUCUUGACUGCUGCUUCCAUGGCUGUUGAUUGUGGAUCCAAGUAAAAUGAAAUCCUUGACAACUUCAAUCUUUUCUCCUUUAUUAUGAUGUUGCCCAUUGGUCCAGUUGUGAGGAUUUUUGUUUUCUUUAUGUUGAGGUGUAAUCCAUACUGAAGGCUGUGAUCUUUCAUCUUCAUCAGUACGUCCUUCAAGUCCUCUUCACUUUCAGCAAGCAAGGUUAUGUCAUCUGCAUAUUGCAGAUUGUUAAUGAGUCUUUCUCCAAUCCUGAUGCCUCAUUCUUUAUAUAGUACAGCUUCUCAGAUUAUUUGCUUAUCGUGUAGAUGAAUAAGUAUGGUGAAAGGAUACAACCCUGACACACAACUUUCUUGACUUUAAACCACAUAGUAUCCCCUUCUGUUUGAAUGACUGCUCCUUGAUCUACAUAUAGGUUCCUCACGAGCACAGAUAAGUGUGCUGGAAUUCCCAUUCUUCCUUCACACCAUCGGUUCCUGAUCGUAUGCUACCUCCUGAAAUAGUUGAACGUCAACCAAAUCUUUUUGGUACAGUGAUUCUCUGUAUUCCUUCUAUCUGUGUAUUCCUUUGAUGCUUCCUGCGUCGUUUAAUAUUUUCCCUGUAGAGUCCUUCAGUAUUGCAACUGGAAGCUUUUUUCUUCAGUUCUUUCAGCUUGAGAAAUGCUGAGUGUGUUCUUCCCUUUUGGUUUUCUAUCUCUAGGUCUUUGCACAUGUAUUGUAAUACUUUGUCUUCUCAAGCUACCCUUUGAAAUCUAUUCAGCUCUUUUACUUCAUCAUUUCUUCCUUUUGCUUUAGCUACUCAACUUUCAAGAGCAACUUUCAGAGUCUCUUCUGACAUCCAUUUAGGUCUUUUCUUUAAUAAUCUCUUGCUUUCUUCAUGUAUGAUGUCCUUGACUCAUUCUGCAACUUGUCUGGUCUUUGGUCAUUAGUGUUCAACGCAUCAAAUCUAUUCCUGAGGUGAUAUCUAAAUUCAGGUGGGAUAUACUCAAGGUUGACUUUGGCUCUCUUGGACUUGUUUUUUGGCCUUAGUGGUUGGUGUGUAAAUUUGAGUAAUAGUGUUAACUUGUCUUCCUUGUAGGUGUAUGGCUAUUUUCCUAUCACUGACAGCAUUGUACUUCAGGAUAGAUCUUGGAAUAUCCUUUUUGACGAUGAACACAACGCCAUUCCUUUUCAGGUUGUCAUUUCCAGCACAGUAGACCGUAUGAUUGUCUGAUUCAAAAUGGCCAACACCAGUCCGUUUCGGCUCACUAAUGCCUAGGAUAUCGAUGUUUAUGCGUUCCAUUUCAUUUUUUAUGAUUUCCAAUUCUUCUAGAUUCAUACUUUGUACAUACCAGGUUCUGAUUAUUAAUGGAUGUUCGCAGCUUUUUCUUCUCAUUUUGAGUCGUGCCACAUCAGCAGAUCAAGGUCCUGAAAGUUUGACUCCAUCCACGUCAUAAAAGUCAACUCUACUCUGAGGAGGCAGCUCUUCCCCGGUCAUCUUUUGAGUGCCUUCCAAACUGGGGGGCUCAUCUUCUGGCACCAUAUCAGACAACAUUCUGCUGUUAUUCAUAAGGUUUUCGCUGGCUAAUGCUUUUCAGAAGUAGCCCACCGGGCCUUCUUCCUAGUCUUAGUCCAGAAGGUCAGCUGAAACUUGUCCGCCGUGGGUGACCCUACUAGUAUUUGAAUACUGGUGGCAUAGCUUCCAGCAUCACAGCAACAUGCAAGCCCCCACAGUACAACAAACUGACAGACGCAUGGGGGAAACAACAACAACAAAAUGGUGUUCUAGGUGCUCCUAAUACUGGAAACUUGCAGCUCUGGCAAGCUAGAAAGGCUGUGAACUCCAUGAGGCAGGGAACAUGCCUGUGUUUUCUCAUCAUCAUGGUUACUGAGCGUUGUGAUCGAAGAUUCUGUGGAAGAAUUCUGAUGGAGGGGGAGGAGAAUACAGAACAGAAUUUCACAUUCUCAUGGAAUCCAGACUUUCUGGAGCCAUGGAGGCUGGAUGAAUCCUCAGAACUAUUGCCCGGAGAUAAUCCCUAAGUCUUAAACCAAAAACAUCCCUAAGUCUUCUUAAAGCCAAAUACUACCCAGAACAACUACGUCUUACCCAGUUACUACCACCAACUGCCUUGACAGGGAUCACAAUAGAGGGUCCUGGACAGAAGAAAAAUCUAGAACAAAAAUCAAAUUCACACACAGAAAAGACCAGGCUUGGUGGUCUGACAGAGAUUGGAGAAAGCCCAAGAGUACAGCCCCUGGGCACCAUUUUAACUCAGUAUUGAAGUCAUUCACUUUGGCUGAGGUUCACCCUUCGGCCAAAGAUUAGACACAUCUGUAGGGCCGACAAUAACACAUGAAGAAUGUGCUUCAUAGGUCAAUCAUUUAUACGAGACUAAUGGGUACACCUGCCCAAAAGCAAGGACAGAAGGCAGGAAGAGACUGGAAAACUGGUUGAAUACAAACAGGAAACCCUGGGUGGAGAGGGGAAAGCGUUGACACGUCAUGGGGUUGGCAACCAAUGUCACAAAACAAUUUGUGUAUUAACUGUUUUAUGAGAAACUAUUGCUCUAUAAACUUUCACCUAAAGCACAAUUUAAAAAAAAACAAAAGCUAGACAAUAGUUUAGCUUAACUAGUAAAUGUCUGCCUUGAGCAUUGUGCUCUCUUAAGAUCUGUCUAUAUGGGAUCGAACUGACAACAGCAAAUUUAAAGAUUAGAUAGGAACCUUGGGGGCAGUGAGUUUAUGUUAACGUGCGAAGAACAACUCAGAAAAGGGAGGUGAGAAUGGUUGCACAGCAUGGAAAAUGUAAUUAAUGUCGUUGAGUUGUACGUGUAGAAACUUGAAUUGGUAUAUGUUUUUGCUGUCUGUCACGGGUUGAACCGUGUCCCCUAAAAAUAUGUGCCAACUUGGUUAGGCCAUGAUUCCCAGUAUUGUGUGAUUGUCCACCAUUUUGUCAUUUGAUGAGAUUUUCCUGUGUGUUGUAAAUCCUAUCACUGAUCUUAAUGGAUUAGUGGCAGUUAUGUUGAUGAGAUCCACAAAUUAAGAUAGUGUCUUGAGCCAAUCUCUUUCGAGAUAUAAAAGAGACAAGCAAGCAGAGAGACACGGGGACCUUAUAUCACCAAAAAGCAAGAGCCAGGAGGAUAGCACGUCCUUCGAAACUGAGGUCCCUGUGCUGAGAAGCUCCUAGUCCAGGGAAGAUCGAUGACAAAGACCUUCCUACAGAGCCAACAGAGAAAGCCUUCCCCUGGAGCUGAUGCCCUGAAUUUGGACUUCUCACCUACUAAAACUCUAAAAAACCCAAACCCACUGCUGUCGUGUCGAUUCCCACUCGUAGCGACCCUCGAGGACAGAGUAGAACUGCCCCAUAGAGUUUCCAAGGUGUGCCUGGCGGAUUCAAACUGCGGACCUCUUGGUUAGCAGCUGUAGCACUUGACCACUACGCCACCAGGGUUUCCUCUCACCUACUAGACUGUGAGAAAAUAAAUUUCUCUUUAUUAAAGCCAUCCACUUGUGGUAUUUCUGUUAUAGCCCACUAGAUGACUAAGACAGCUGCUAACCACCCAAAAGGUUGCCGGAUUGAGCCCACCAGCGGCUCUGUGGGACAAAGAUGUGGCACUCUGCUUCCAUAAAGAUCUGUGGGCUCGGAAACCCUAUGGGCAGUUCUACUCUGUCCUAUAGGGUCACUGUGAACCAGCAUCGACUCCUUGGCACUGAAUUUGGUCUUGGGUUUUGAGUCUUUUCUGUAAACCAUGGACUUGCCUACUACUAUACUACUGUUUAGGUUCAGGACACUUUCCUGUGAGAAAUUAAUUUAUCAUGUUAGUAUCACCCCCUAGGGCCCGGUAGGAAUAACUACAAAUUUUUAGACGGAUGCAUGUCCCAAUCCAGGAUCUUCAAGAUUUUUCACAGACUAAUUAAGUACAGCCAAUAAAAAAAUUCCCACAGUUAAAAAAUUAACAAACACACGGGAAAACAAGACACCAUGAAUCAAAGCAUCAGGAGGAACAAAAACAACAGAUUUAGCCCUUCAAGCAUUUCAGAUAUUAGAUUUUUGAGACACAGAAUGUAAGAUAACCAUGCACGAAGUGUUCAAAGAUAUAAAAGAAUUAAAAAAGAAGAAACAAGAGGCUAUAAAAAUGCUUAGGGAUAUUUGAAAAAGAACCUGGAAGAACUUUCAUGGCUGAAGAAAACUGGAAGAUAGAUGAGAAGAAAUCACUUUCUGAUUUGGGGCUCUGCAUCCAGUUCACCAUCUUCUCAAGGUGAGAAGCAUAGCAUUUAAAAUAGUGAGCUACUGGCUCACAAGUAGUAAAUAUAGUUUGUUUAAUCCUCACAACUGACCUGUAUUAAAAGUGACUGCCUGCUUCUUCCUCUAGUGUGUGAGCACCUUAGGGACAGAGACCAGGUCUUUUUCUUUGGUUCGUUGGAGCCUUGUGUGCCUUCUGAACAUAGACGGUGUAGUGGGUUGAAGAGUCUCCUCAAAAUUCAUGUCCACCACUUGAGACUGUGUUGGCAUCUCCUGUCUGGAGGGGGGAUGGGAGAAUAGAGUGAGUUGGAAGCUGGCAAAAUUGUCACGAAAGGAGAGACUGGAAGGGCUGACUCAUUACGGGGAAAGCAAGUGGGAGUACGGAGUAAGGUGUAUAUAAACUUAUAUGUGACAGUCUGACUUGAUUUGUAAACAUUCACUUGAAGCUCAAUAAAAGUUAAUAAAAAAAAUUCAUGUCCACUCAGAACCUCAGAAUGUGCCCUCAUUUGGACUUGGCUAAGUUGGACAUCAGUAAGAUGAGGUCAUGAUGGAUUAGGGUGGGCCCUAAAUGCAAUGACUGGUAUCCUUGUAGGAGGAGGAGACAAAAGAGAGAGAUACAGAGAAGAAGGCCACGUGAAGACAGGCAGAUAUGGGAGUGAUGCAGCUACAAGGCAAGGAACGCCAAGGAUUGCUGGGAGUCACCGAAGCUAGAAAGGCGAGGAAGGACUCUCCCCUAGAGCCUUCAGAGGGAGCAUGGCCCUGCCAACACCUUGGUUUCAGACUUCUAGCCUCUGGAACUGGGAGAGAAUAAAUGUCUGUUGUUUUAAGCCACCAAGUUUGGUACUUUGUUCUUAGCCCUAGAACACUAAUACAGGGGGUGUUUGUUAUAGGUUUGUAAAUACACUGAAAUUAUACAUAUAAUGUUUUUGUUUUCCCCUUACUUUUCAUGUGACAACACCUGCAAAUUGGACAGGACCCCUUGACCUUGAUAAAAAUGAGGUUGUUGGAAAUGGUAGUGUCACCUCUGUUUCCGCUUUCCUUCAGACAUUACGCCUGUCCUUUAGGAAGUCCUGCUGCCUGCAGUUGCCUCCUAACUUACUUGGUCUUCCUGCUUGGACUUUUACUGCCCACCUCCCCAUCCGUUCUUCACACAGCAACCAGAGUUACAUUUUAAGAAACUUAAAAGAGAUUAUGCCCUUCCUUUGUCUAACCCCCCAACCAAAAAAAAAAAAAUUUCCUAUUGCAUUUAGGAUGAAAUUUAAACACUGUCUGGCUCAUAGGCCCCUGCCCUCCUUUCUGGCCUCUUCCCCUACUCAGGCCUCUCUCAUUGUCUUCCAGCCGCAGGGACUGUUUUCUGUUUCUUAACCUUGUUGAGGAGCUGUUUCUUACCUUAGGUGUUUGCACCUACUUUCCCUCUGUGGAAGCCCUGUUGGCAUAAGUGGUUAAGUGCUACGGCUGCUAACCAAAAAGUUGGCGGUUUGAGUCUACCGGGUGCUCCUUGGAAACUCUAUGGGGCCGUUCUACUCUGUCCUAUAGGGUAGCUAUGAGUUGGAAUUGAAGGGACGCCCACGGAGAAUACUCUUCCUUCAGAAGCAUGACUGUUUCCUUCUUAGCAUUCAUGACUCAACUCAAACUCCAUCUCCCUGAUGCUCCCUAUGACGUCACUAUUUUCAUCUUGGUACUUAACACCGAG